rnacentral:siRNA from 1 species
UAGCAUGAUUGGUUGAGCUAUA